AUGAAACCAAAUGGGAACUUAACUACUUCCGACAAGGAAAAAGCGACUGUAUUAAAUGACUUUUUUACCAGUGUAUUUACUGCUGAAAAUCCAAAUAAUAUACCUAAUAUUGAAGAGAGAAAUUUUGAAUCAUCUUUAGACCACUUUGUGAUCAAUCAAGAUACAGUUGAAAAAUAUCUACUUUUAUUAAAUGGAAGCAAGUCUAUGGGUCCAGAUAAUAUUCAUCCGUUAAUAGUAAAGAGUAUGGCAAAUACAUUUUCAAAACCUUUGACUUUGAUAUUUCAAAAGUCCAUUGACACUGGAAAAAUUCCAAAAGAAUGGAAAGAUGCUAGAGUUACCCCACUUUUUAAGAAUAAAGGUAGUAAACUGGAUGCGGGAAAUUACAGACCGGUCAGUCUAACUUCAAUUGUUUGUAAAACUUUGGAAAAGGUUAUACGGAAGGAAAUGAUUGAUCAUUUAAUAACCAAUAAUUUGUUAUCAGACUCACAGUUUGGUUUUCGCUCUGGAAGAUCAUGUAUAUUACAAUUACUUGAUGUCAUGGAAGACUGGUCAUUAUAUAUGGAUAAUAAUAUAUCCUGGGACACAUUAUAUCUCGAUUUUGCCAAAGCUUUCGAUAAAGUGCCACAUAAAAGAUUACUAAAGAAACUGUAUUCAUACGGUAUUCGUGGAUCUAUAUUAGAAUGGAUAACUGACUUUUUAACUGGACGUCGACAACAAGUUGCGGUGAAAGGGGAAAAAUCUGAAUGGCAAAAUGUAAUUAGUGGAGUGCCCCAAGGCAGUGUACUUGGACCUGUUCUUUUCAUUAUAUUCAUAAAUGAUUUACCAGAUGUUGUGGAGUCUAUAGUAAAAAAAUUUUCGCAGACGAUACUAAAAUUUAUGCACCUACUUCUAAAUCUGAUGUCUUACAGAAUGAUCUAGAUGCCCUCUACAAUUGGUCCAAGUUAUGGGACAUGAAAUUUAAUGUGAACAAAUGUAAACAAAUCCAUUAUGGAAGAAAUAAUCCUGAAAAUGUUUAUACCAUGAACAAUAUUGAUAUCAUUAAAGAUGAACAAGAAAAGGAUCUUGGAAUUAUUUUUCAAAAUGAUCUUAAAUUUUCUCAACAUAUAUCAAGUAAAAUAAAUAAAGCCAAUAGUAUACUUGGGCUAAUUAACCGAACUUUUAUCUUUAAAGAUCAAUAUACAUUUUUAAGACUAUACGUUGCGUUGGUACGACCACACGUGGAAUAUGGAAAUACAAUAUGGUAUCCGCAUUUAAAGAAAGAUAUUAAUGCUGUAGAAAAAGUGCAGAUGAGAGCAACUAAAUUAAUUCCUGAUAUACGACAUUUAAGCUAUGAAGACAGAUUAAAAGUACUUAAACUACCUUCCCUAACUCACAGAAGGCGAAGAGGUGAUAUGAUACAAGCUUUCAAAAUAUUAAAAGGAUUCGAAGAUAUAUCUUAUGAAAGAUUUUUUACUGUCAUCAGUACAAAUACCCGUGGGCAUAAUUGGAAAUUAGCAAAACCUAGAUGUAACACUUCUUUUCAGUUAAGACAUUUCUCACAACGAAUUAUUAAUGAUUGGAAUAACCUACCAGUUGAAGUUAUUUCAUCAAAAACUGUGGAAGCCUUUAAAAUUAGUAUAGACCGUCAUUGGGAGUCAGUCAUGUAUCAGUUAAGAAAUUGA
rnacentral:sRNA from 1 species